CUAUGACUUGUUGUGGGUCUAAUUGUGUGUCCCUUCCCCCAAAGGCCCAACCCCGUUUCUGAAAGGCGUGUCCUUUAGAAACAGGGUCCAUGGAAGUAAAACAUUUAGGAUGAUGCCAUGGAGUAGAGAGGUCCUUAAUUCAGGACAACUGGUGUUCUUCCAAGAAGAAACUUGGACACAGUCACAGAAGACACCAUGGAAACAGGCAGGGGCUGGAGGGAUACAAAGAAAAGCCAAAGGUUUCCAAGGACAGAGGCCAGCCACCCCUGAAGUCAAGAGAGGAAGAUUGGUUGAACACAGGGUCUCAGAUGGAGCACAGCCCUGCUGAAGCCUUCAUUCAGAUUGCUGGCCCCUGGGACUAUGAAAAGACCAUUUUCUGUUGCUUUAAACUGUCCAAUUUGGGGACUCUUUCCCAGUUGCCCUGGAAGUCACAGGCAUUUUUAACAGUAUAGCUUCUGGGACAGGAGAGCCCUCCUCUGCCUCAGCUGACACAGAGGUACCUGGCUAGCCCCAUGUCACUGCUCUCAGCGGGGACUGGGGUUCCUGCACCCAGCCUCCCCUAGUCUCCUGGGAUCCGCAACUUCCUCAGAGGACACAUAAAGGGUCUGGGCUGGAAUCUGAAGCCACGGCGAAUCCUCCGAAUGCUGAAGGAUGUCACAUAUCCCAAAUUGGCCUUGGAUUCCAGACCCUCCUGCCUAAUCCUACAAGUGGGCUUCUUCACAGCCUCCAAGAGAAAGACUUUUCCUUUUGAUGCAAGUAGGCUAUUGAGGCUUGAUCAUUUAUCCAAGGUUCAUGGCUUUGAGGCUGGACUUAGGUCAGGAUCUGAGCUCUGGAAGCUGGGAGGGGUGGGACUUCACAGAGACUCGGGUCCCUCUGUGCACCCGAAUUUGCUGAACUGGAGAACUCCCCACCCCUCUUCCGAAACAGCUCUCUUCAGGCUGGGGGAAGAACAAUUUAACUUCGGCUGCUGGCUGUUGCAACUCCGCAGGCUCCUUCCCACCUAUGCACCUAGGCAGAGCUGGAAGGAGAACAGCUAAGGCGCUGGAGGGCAGCUGCCCUGGACUCUGGUUUCUGGUUCUGGCUGCAUGACUAGAAGGUUGGACUCCUGCUUCAAUCUAGGAGCACCCGCUUUUCAUCUGGGAAAUGGUGCGAGCCUCUGAGGAAUUAUCUGUGGAAAUUCACAAGAAAACAUCCAGCCGGUAGCAGGUGCUAGGUGGAAGCCGGCCCCCAGUCACUCUUAGUUCCAAGCAUCCAGUUCUUUUCGGUCCAGGUCAGUGAGUCCAGCCUCCCAGGCGCCGUGAAUCUGCUAGGGUCAAUGCUUCAGGGUACCAGGGUCUUUCAGUCGGCACUGAAAUCUUCCUAGACUCUUAGGUCCCACAGAACUUCCUGGCUUAGAGGGACAGGAGAUGCCUCAGGUUUCUUGGGCUUUCCUAAAUUUGGACAAGCACGGGGUUGUGUGAGCGGCGGGGGGUAGGGAGGAUAGGAUACUGGGGAGGUGGUGGUGUUAAAUACCUGCAUUUUUAAACAGGCUCUACCACUUUCUGGCUCAGAGACCUGAGGAAAUGACUCCUGCUUGAGCCUGGGUUUCACUAUCUAUGGAAAAUGGGGGCAAAACUAAAUUUCUAGUGAGCCUUCCCUGGUCACACCACCCCAAACCUAAAGGAAUCUAAACAGGAUCACUAGUGAGCAUGCCCCAGCUCCACUUACAUCUCUGAAACCACUUUUGUGGGCUCCCCUGGGAAAAGCAAAAGUCACAAACACUUCCACCUUCCAGAGAUGACUUAGACUAAACUACCCUUUCCUCAGAGCUGCCUCAAGUUGAGGCGUGGGGUAGAUGUGGAGGCUACAAGACCUUUCAGGGUAAGAUAAGGGACUCACCCACUCCAUCUUGCAGACCACUGGGCUCCAUUUUCUGUCUUUCGAAAUUUCCUGCUCAGACUCUAUUGAUUUUCUGACUGCUCAUGGAGCGCCAGUGCCUGGAGCAUUCGGGGAAGCGUCCAGCCACAGGCUCUUCUGGUUGACUCAGGAAGGCUCUGA
rnacentral:lncRNA from 1 species